AUUGAACGCUGGCGGCAAGCCUAACACAUGCAAGUCGAACGAGUGGCGGACGGGUGAGUAAUGUCUGGGAAACUGCCUGAUGGAGGGGGAUAACUACUGGAAACGGUAGCUAAUACCGCAUACCAGCGGAUGUGCCCAGAUGGGAUUAGCUAGAAGGUGGGGUAAAGGCUCACCUAGGCGACGAUCCCUAGCUGGUCUGAGAGGAUGACCAGCCCCACUGGAACGGAGACACGGUCCAGACUCCUACGGGGGGCAGCAGUGGGGAAUAUUGCACAAUGGGCUCAAGCCUGAUGCAGCCAUGCCGCGUGUAUGAAGAAGGCCGUCGGGUUGUAAAGUACUUUCAGCGGGGAGGCGUUACCCGCAGAAGAAGCACCGUCUAACUCCGUGCCAGCAGCCGCGGUAAUAC
rnacentral:rRNA from 1 species